CCAAGGACCUGCAGUGAAGAAAGAAAUCGUCCCAGAGACAGGCCCACGCAGAAGCAGGAAGCAACGUGAUGAGGGCUCCGAGGCACGGCCAUCCGGCUCCGUCUCGUUCACUCCUGGAUCCGCUUGGAGCCCCAUCCUUCCGGACCCUCAGGACGUCAGAGGGACACUUACCUGAAGACGUUGUGCCCUCACGUGCCGGCCCCCGUGGGAGAGCUUUGCGCUAUUUUCCUAGCUGUUCCUCUUCGCUCUGUCUGCCUCAUGUUUGUGGUUUGGGAAGGGGCGGAGAGUGGGUGAGUAGGGACUGAUCUCCCGGAAAAGGUCCACAGCUAGGCUGCCCUCGGCUCCGUCCAGUGGAAAGACCAGCCCAGACACAGACCGCCCCCUGUGGCUUAUGGGGAUUGACGUCCAACUCUGGUUCCCAAGACGGAUGAUGGCAGAGGGCAGAGUGACGCCCUGGGAACAUAUAUAUCUGGAUACGGCCUGAGAAUCACAUGGUCCAGUCCAGUGCCGGGGUCCAGCCCCGGUGGAUCCAGGGAAUUCGAAGCGGGGACGGCGUCGGCGAGGAUCAGGAAACAACUGCUUAAUUAAACGUUAAUUAAGGAUAUAAAGAGUAAUAGAAUAAAGACAGCUCAGUGAGGAAAUUCAGUGGAGAAAAGAGGCUGAAUAAUUCAGCCAGAAGUGGUCAUGUAUGGAUGUGAGAGGUGGACUGUGAAGAAACAUGAGCACCGAAGAAUUGAUGCUUUUGAACUGUGGUGUUGGAGAAGACUCUUAGAGUCCCUUGGACUGCAAGGAGAUCCAACCAGUCCAUUCUAAAGGAGAUUGGUCCUGGGUGUUCAUUGGAAGGAUUGAUGCUGAAGCUGAAAUUCCAAUACUUUGGCCACCUGAUGUGAAGAACUGACUCACUGGAAAAUACCCUGAUGCUGGGAAAGAUUGAAGGCGGGAAGAGAAGGGGACAACAGGGGAUGAGAUGGUUGGAUGGCAUCACCGACUCAAUGGACAUGAGUUUGAGUAAACUAUGGGAGUUGGCGAUGGACAGGGAGGCCUGGCGUGCUGCCGUCCAUGGGGUCACAAAGAGUCGGACACAGCUGAGUGACUGAACUAAACUGAAUCUCUUUCACGGGCUUCCCCGUGGCUCAGCUACAAAGAAUCUACCUGGGAUGCUAGAGACAUGGGUUCGAUCCCUGAGUCAGAAAGAUCCCCUGGAGAAGGAAAUGGCACCCACUCCAGUAUUCUUGCCUGGAGAAUCCCAAGGACAGAGGAGCCUGGUGGGCUAUGGUUCAUGGGAUCUCGAAGAGUCGUACACGACUUAGCAACUAAACAGCAACAACAACAGUCUUUGUCAAAGGAUUCGAGCUGAGGGACCCUCCAGUUAAGUGGACACUUUGUGGCUGUCCUUUGCGUCCUAGAGUUUCUGACCUAAAAUGGGCAGAUAUGUGUCCACUCUGACUCUGUGCUACAUUUGGAAUAAUGGGCUUAACUCUCCUGGGAGAUGAACUCUUUCCCCCCAAACCUACCUCCACCCCCUGCCCCCAAGGACUCCUCAUUUCUGCCCCCUAAGCGGGAGUCCAGGGGGCAUGGGUGUGAGGACCCGCAAGCCCCAGUUGGAAUCUCCUGCCUUCCCUCCGGUCGAUCACUGCUGCUGGGCUGCACCUGCCCACCCCCACACACAAGACAGAAGACCUGGCCCGGACCCAACAGUACAGUUCUUUGCUGAUGUGAUGUUCCUCUCUCAUGAGGUCGUGCACCACUCCCUGGCAGGGCGAGCCGCUCCGGAGCUGUCCCCCUGCAUUUGUUCAUCCAUCGCCUCCAGCCUGGGAUGCUGGGGUUUUCUGGUUAGCACCAUGCUCUCCACCUUCUUGCUGAUUUGGGUGUGUACACAUUCAUCAUAUUCUCCUCGUAUGUCGACUGUUUUCAGCUGGGACCAUUCUUUCUUGCCUCAUCGGAAAGCUCCAGGAAAGGGCUUGCUGAUGAAAGGAGUAUGGUGUUCGGAGGAGAACAAGCUCCCAUCAUCACGCCCAGGGGAGGAAGCCAGG
ensembl:lncRNA